GACGAACGCUGGCGGCGUGCUUAACACAUGCAAGUCGAACGGAAAGGCCCUGCUUUUGUGGGGUGCUCGAGUGGCGAACGGGUGAGUAACACGUGAGUAACCUGCCCUUGACUUUGGGAUAACUUCAGGAAACUGGGGCUAAUACCGGAUAGGAGCUCCUGCUGCAUGGUGGGGGUUGGAAAGUUUCGGCGGUUGGGGAUGGACUCGCGGCUUAUCAGCUUGUUGGUGGGGUAGUGGCUUACCAAGGCUUUGACGGGUAGCCGGCCUGAGAGGGUGACCGGCCACAUUGGGACUGAGAUACGGCCCAGACUCCUACGGGAGGCAGCAGUGGGGAAUAUUGCACAAUGGGCGGAGGCCUGAUGCAGCAACGCCGCGUGCGGGAUGACGGCCUUCGGGUUGUAAGCCGCUUUCGCCUGUGACGAAGCGUGAGUGACGGUAAUGGGUAAAGAAGCACCGGCUAACUACGUG
rnacentral:rRNA from 1 species